UACGGAGGGUGCAAGCGUUAUCCGGAUUCACUGGGUUUAAAGGGUGCGUAGGUGGGCAGGUAAGUCCGUGGUGAAAUCUCUGAGCUUAACUCAGAAACUGCCGUGGAUACUAUUUGUCUUGAAUAUUGUGGAGGUGAGCGGAAUAUGUCAUGUAGCGGUGAAAUGCUUAGGUAUGACAUAGAACACCAAUUGCGAAGGCAGCUCACUACACAAUUAUUGACGCUGAGGCACGAAAGCGUGGGGAUCAAACAGG
rnacentral:rRNA from 1 species